UGGGGGAUAUUGCACAAUGGGGGAAACCUUGAUGCAGCGACGCCGCGUGGAGGAAGAAGGUUUUCGGAUUGUAAACUCCUGUCGUUAGGGACGAUAAUGACGGUACCUAACAAGAAAGCACCGGCUAACUACGUGCCAGCAGCCGCGGUAAAACGUAGGGUGCAAGCGUUGUUCGGAAUUACUGGGUGUAAAGGGAGCGCAGGCGGACCGGCAAGUUGGAAGUGAAAUCCAUGGGCUCAACCCGUGAAUUGCUUUCAAAACUGCUGGCCUUGAGUAGUGCAGAGGUAGGUGGAAUUCCCGGUGUAGCGGUGGAAUGCGUAGAUAUCGGGAGGAACACCAGUGGCGAAGGCGACCUACUGGGCACCAACUGACGCUGAGGCUCGAAAGCGUGGGUAGCAAACAGGAUUAGAUACCCUGGUAGUCCAUGCCGUAAACGAUGAUUACUAGGUGUUGGAGGAUUGACCCCUUCAGUGCCGCAGUUAACACAAUAAGUAAUCCACCUGGGGAGUACGACCGCAAGGUUGAAACUCAAAGGAAUUGACGGGGGCCCGCACAAGCAGUGGAGUAUGUGGUUUGAUUCGAAGCAACGCGAAGAACCUUACCAGGUCUUGACAUCCGAUGCAUAGUGCAGAGAUGCAUGAAGUCCUUCGGGACAUCGAGACAGGUGGUGCAUGGUUGUCGUCAGCUCGUGUCGUGAGAUGUUGGGUUAAGUCCCGCAACGAGCGCAACCCUUAUUGCCAGUUACUACGCAAGAGGACUCUGGCGAGACUGCCGUUGACAAAACGGAGGAAGGUGGGGAUGACGUCAAAUCAUCAUGCCCUUUAUGACCUGGGCUACACACGUACUACAAUGGCGUUUAACAAAGAGAAGCAAGACCGCGAGGUGGAGCAAAACUCAGAAACAACGUCUCAGUUCAGAUUGCAGGCUGCAACUCGCCUGCAUGAAGUCGGAAUUGCUAGUAAUCGCGGAUCAGCAUGCCGCGGUGAAUACGUUCCC
rnacentral:rRNA from 1 species